rnacentral:lncRNA from 1 species
UCUGCAAGACAGCCUAAAUUUUGUAUUUUCUAGGCUUUCCAUAUUUAGUGCUGAUUUCUAAUUCUUUAGAUUCCUAAAAUCACAGUAUAAAAAGAAAAUUAUUUCCAAACCAAAAAAGUGAUUUUGACCCAUCAUAAUCUUUGUGACUUAUCCGCUUCCACGUGAAGUGGGUCUCACCAAUAGGAUGGUUGAUAUCGAGGACAAGGCCUGUUUCUGACUC